GAUGAACGCUGGCGGCGUGCCUAAUACAUGCAAGACGAGCGAAUGGAUUAAGAGCUUGCUCUUAUGAAGUUAGCGGCGGACGGGUGAGUAACACGUGGGUAACCUGCCCAUAAGACUGGGAUAACUCCGGGAAACCGGGGCUAAUACCGGAUAAUAUUUUGAACUGCAUGGUUCAAAAUUGAAAGGCGGCUUCGGCUGUCACUUAUGGAUGGACCCGCGUCGCAUUAGCUAGUUGGUGAGGGAACGGUUCACCAAGGCAACGAUGCGUAGCCGACCUGAGAGGGUGAUCGGCCACCCUGGGACUGAGACACGGCCCAGACUCCUACGGGAGGCAGCAGUAGGGAAUCUUCCGCAAUGGACGAAAGUCUGACGGAGCAACGCCGCGUGAGUGAUGAAGGCUUUCGGGUCGUAAAACUCUGUUGUUAGGGAAGAACAAGUGCUAGUUGAAUAAGCUGGCGCCUUGACGGUACCCAACCAGAAAGCCACGGCUAACUACGUGCCAGCCGCCGCAGUAA
rnacentral:rRNA from 1 species